UCCAUGGGAAAAUUGCUGGAGAUAGUAAGAAGGGUGGUACUAAAAGAUGAGAGAAUCAGUGAGAAAGCAGUGCAAGAGUAAAAGUAGCUUUCAGUGAGGAAGUAGUACACUGAGCAGCAGCCAGCUGCGUUACAAACACAACAAGAUCAAGUGGAUAUUGGCAACCAGGGGCUCAGUGUAGGAAGGAUAUAACAUCUGUCUGGGCAACACCCAGGAAGACAGAAUGUCUUUGUGAAUUCAUGAGUUCAAGGAAACAUCUAGAUUUUAACUUUCAGGAAGAUGAACAAGAUCACAAAUCAAAUGGAACAAUUGAAUCAAGGACCAUGAUUUUUCCAGAGAAUAUAGACAUAUGAAACUCAACUUGAAUAUAUUCUGGAGUAAAUACAUCAGUGUCAAAAAAAAAAAAUGCAAAGGAGAGGUUGCCCAGUGCUGACAUUUCUAAGAAGUUUGAGUGAGAAGCUCUCCUGAAGUUCCAUGGCUGUUGAAAUGGCAAACUCCAAAGUCCUUAAAAAUUCAUAUGAAAGAAGAUUCUCUCAGGAAGUCAUUCAUAGAUCAUCUUCCCAAUAGAUGAUCCUCUGCACUUCUUUCAGGCCUGUAAACAGACUUGCUUAUUAAAGAAAUCAGCAAAAAGUUC